CUUCCUUCCAAUUUUUCCCCUUCCUUCCAAUUCCACUUUCCCAUUUCAAUUAGCCCUAAUUUUCGUCUCUCUUUUCGUGCGUCCCUCGGCCUUCUCUUCCUCUCUGCUCUAUCCCGAUCUCUGCUCCGUCUCGAUUUCUCACUGCUCAAUCUCCAUUUCUCAGCUGAAGCACUUCUUCAGCUCAUCGUAGGCUCUCUCUCUCUCUCUCUACCAUCACCACCAUCAUUCUCCCUUUCUUUCCACCUGCGUUUCAGAGUACCUCAAAUUCAGAUUCUCUCUUCUCCCCUCACGGAUCCUACUCAUCCUCUCUCUCUUGGUGGAAGGGAUGUGGUUCAUCGUCAGACAAAGGACUUGAUGCAAAGGUGAAGGGACUGCAUAAUGCGUUUGCUCGAUUGGGAGAUAGAUCGGCCAUGGGCUCUGUGAUUCUAGCUUCGUGGAACCAGGACUAUUGCCAGUCAGCUCAAUAAAAUGAAUUUGAUCUGAAUUCUGAAGCGAGUCCUGAAGUGGGAUGGUAUGUUCUUGGCGAAGGUCAAUAGCAUAUUGACCCCUAUAAUUUUUCUAAGUGGCAUGAAAUCAUCCAACAUGAAGGAGGUUCCAGUUGUGAUCAUUCGAGAACAUCCAAGCUUGAAUAAACAAGUACUAAUUUCUAGUGCUUAGAAGAAGCUCCAAUGUUCUUGUUAAAGCCCAUCAAACAAUCGGACGUGAAGGAAUUGAGAUGUCGAUUAAUGAAAUAUAGAAGCUAAAAGCAGUCUGUCAUUGAGGAAGAUCAAGGAGUUCAAUGACUAGAACAGUAAUUAUGGAAUCUCCCCAACACUAGGGCUGGUGGGCUGGGUAUCAAUCUUACUGCAGCUGAUACCUGCAUUUUAUACUAUAGUGACUGGAAUCCCCAAAUGGAUUUACAAGCAAUGGAUUGGUGUCACAUAAUAGGUCAAACAAAGCUCGUUCAUGUUUACAGGCUGGCAACAACUCAAUUUGUAGAGGUCCUUUAUGGUUGGCUUUGUUCCUUUGUUUUAUAUAAUGCAAUUUGCUAUUCUACUUGUAAUGGAAAGAAAUUGUAUAUGCUAUCAGGGUCGAAUUCUAAAAAGAGCUUUCAGUAAGUAAAAGUUGAGCAAGUCGUGAUUGGGAAUGGGCAGUUUCAGCAAGAAAGAACCACAUCUAACAGUACAGGUCUUACGGAGACUGGCUAGGGUUGUGGCUUGGCUCAGGAUUCUUACAAUUUUGUUGGGUUAACACAAAAUUGGUAGUCAUUGGUCCGGGUUGACUCGACCUUGUUGUAAGGGGGCUAAUUCCAGAGUAAUGCAUGCAAGUCUGAAAGUCUGAUGUCUGCCUUUUUGACAGAAAAAUCUUCAGCUUCAGUAACGCUGAGGAGGACCUUCUAGCACUACUCCGAGAUGAAGAUCCUGAACACAGGAUGAUACAAACGGAAAUCUUUGAUGAAGAUUUGGAAAGGGUUUUGGACAGCAGAGAUUUGCUUGGUGGUACGCCAAAUGAAGAGGGAGAACCAGAUGCUGCUGUUAGUUUGUUUCCCCUUGAAUGGCCUGGUUGGGAGGUGGUGACGCAACUGCAAGUGGAGGCAUGUUCUCCAAUCUCAAUAGCUGACACUGGUUUAGUGUAUGCAGGAUUUGGUUAUGGUUUUUGGAGUGGCGUAUGCCUAUUAAUGUCCAUCGUUUUGGACCUGACAUUUUUUUGGAUGCUAAACUAUUCUAACAGUCUUGUGUGAGCUGAAAAAUGCUUGUCGAGAUAGCUUUCUUUUAAUUUGUAAAUGUGGAAAAGAUUCAAUUCUCUGGAAAGGAAGCUGAUAUUUUCAAAUGUAUUAAUCUAUAUGUAAAUGUCAAAUUUGGGCAAUGUAAGGCUGAAUAUUCCAUUCU